GCGUCGAACAGUGGAAGGAGCGGAAAAAAAGCUCAACAAGUCGCCUCGCCUGCACUCGGAAUCGCGAAAGUGUCUCACGCUGGAGAAGAAGACGUCGCAACUUACCGGCUGUUUACACCGCCGAGGGGGCCAAUGUUGACAUGGGAUAAGUACUUCUUCCUCGGUGUCAUCCUCGAGGCUCAGCAGACUGUCAAAGCUCAGCAGGUGGGGCAGCGUCUCUUGCUGGAGGCCGAUGGGGGUCGUCGUGUGGAAUGUGCCCCAAAACGACUGCUGGCUGCUGUGGUUUGAAGUGGAGGCACAGUCGCCUGGGCUUCCAGGCCGCUGCGCGACACCGCCGCAAGGCUCACGGACGGGAGUGCGGCACCUGAGCAUGCUGUCGUCGCACUUUUUUGCAUCGACGUCUUCCUCGAGCGCCUUCUGCCAGGAGCUUUUCACGUCCACAACUUGAAAAGAAAAAAAAAGGUAAGAAAAAUGAGACGCCGCUUGUCUGUGAAAUUGUAUUACACUGCCCCCUUGUGGCCAUGGCAAGCACACCACAAGGAGCAGCAGAAUGAAUUGAAGCUCUUAUCAAUACUAUCAGUGGAUUUUUGAAAGCACAGGAAAAAGCAGCAGCCAACUCACUCAAACUCUCAGGCGUGCGAGGAAGCUGCUUUCUGGUGUUGAAGGGGUCUCCGUGAAGGAUGCUGAGGAUUCCCUCCAGUUCCAAACUUGCCAGUCUGCCUGUUGAUGGACUGGUUGUGGUUACAGCAUCUGCAAACUUUUACAUACACGUGUUAUCACAGCGUUGCCGUUACUGUAUUUGAGAAGCGGUGGGGUGUGGGGGGGGCUUUACCUGGUCGGCGAGGUUAUCACAUUCCAGGUCUAAUAUUGGCUUCGCUGUCACCUUCGACUGACUGCGGCUGGUCGGCCUCACGAUUGUCUGUGAUCAGGGUUAAAAUAGUUCAGGAAUUUUUUUUAAUGGACUUUUCAGGGCGGGGUUUUGUGUUUUUAAAUGUGUGUUUUUCUUGUGUGCACGAUUAAAAAAAACUAAACAAAACAAAAAAAAAACAGACAAAAAUACAGUAUUUUAAAAACACCCGCCCACAUAUCAAAUACAAGUACUGCAUUAACAGUCCACAGACUUUGAAGUACAUGAAGUGCAGUGCUUAAAGCUGCUUCAAAAGUUAGACGCAUCACAACCCUAAGGUCUUGAAGCUCAUAUGGCCUCACUUUCCACCAUUUCGUCGGCAAGUAAAUGUAGAUUUGUGGCUUAAAAUCCACUAAAUUCACUAAAUUCUGAUUCCCAAACGACCAUUCGACCUUCCUUCUGGUCGUGUUGUCGAAAUAAAAUCAUUUCAAAUCAA